GCCUCCCCAGGAUUUUAAUCUGAGCAGUUCUUAACUAAGACUAGGAAAUUUUGGUUGGGAAA
rnacentral:precursor_RNA from 1 species